ACCUAAAGGCGUAAUGAAAGUAAAGGUCUUCCUUGCGGAGACUGAGGGAGGACGAGCGGUUUUCACCCUUAAAAGUGACCGUUCCGCACUCCCGGGGCGUCUCGUUCUCAUCGCGAGAAGAGGCGCACCAAGAGCGUACACGCUGGGACCCGAAAGAUGGUGAACUAUGCCUGGUCAGGACGAAGUCAGGGGAAACCCUGAUGGAGGUCCGUAGCGAUUCUGACGUGCAAAUCGAUCGUCGGAACUGGGUAUAGGGGCGAAAGACUAAUCGAACCAUCUAGUAGCUGGUUCCCUCCGAAGUUUCCCUCAGGAUAGCUGGCGCUCGUCGCGCACGAGUCUCAUCCGGUAAAGCGAAUGAUUAGAGGCAUUGGGGUCGAAACGACCUCAACCUAUUCUCAAACUUUAAAUGGGUGAGAUCUCCGGCUUGCUCGAAUUAUAUAU
rnacentral:rRNA from 1 species